AUCCUUUCUUAUGCUAUCGUUUUCUUUGAAUUAUCAUGUGCUGAUAUAGUUUCUAACGCAUCAACUUUUUCUUUGCUGCAGGAAUGCGGUGUACUUUGACGUGGUUGCCGUCAUUGUUUGCCUCCUCCUGUAGCGGAAGGAUCAAUCUGGUUGGCAUUCAUGUGAAGAGGACGACAACUGAGAAAUCUGCCUCUGGUAUCUCCCUGUUACAAGCUUCGGCUCCAAGUAAUCUAAGGGCUGGUAUUUCUUCGCUAAGCUUACUGUCUUUCCAUCGGUGACUCCAUCCAAGCGCUUAAGAAAUAUUCGUCGUCAUGCUACGUGAGGUAGGGAAAUUUUUUUUAUAUAAUAAAGAAUUAAAAAAAUGGACAGAUUUCCUAAUUUAUUGAUUUAAAGUGUUAGUUAAUUAAUAGGAUUAUAAAAUAAUAUUAUUAUUUAUUGAUUCAUUUUUAAUCUA